rnacentral:rRNA from 1 species
AAAGCCAAUCUCAGUUCGGAUUGUAGGCUGCAACUCGCCUACAUGAAGUCGGAAUCGCUAGUAAUCGCGGAUCAGCACGCCGCGGUGAAUACGUUCCCGGGCCUUGUACACACCGCCCGUCACACCACGAGAGUUUGUAACACCCGAAGUCGGUGAGGUAACCUAUUAGGAGCCAGCCGCCUAAGGUGGGAUAGAUGAUUGGGGUGAAGUCGUAACAAGGUAGCCGUAUCGGAAGGUGCGGCUGGAUCACCUCCUUU